UCUUCAUGGACCCCUUUGAUGUUAGUAGGC
rnacentral:piRNA from 1 species